AUGGCAACAUCCCAGCCCGGCAAGGGUAUAGACUGCAACCACUGCAUCAGAGGUCCACUCGCUCACUCUAGGUGUGGUGUCGUGGGACUCCAGGUGGCCUGGUCAGGUAAGAAAGACCACCCUAUUCCUCCAGUAUAGGCAGCAGGUUGGCUUUCAAGAAUGUCCUUCCAGAAACACAGCUGCUACCCUCAGUCCAACAGCCAGAAGAGACGUGACGCCCCAGAGAGAGGUGCAGUCCCCAGGACCCGUGUCACUGCCAACUCGGCCUCUGGACCCCUGCCUUUCUUCCAAUUCCGACCUCGCCUGGAGAACAUUGACUGGAGGAGGCUGGGCGCCAUUGAUGUGGACAAGGUGGUGGGAACUAUGGAUGUCCUGACACUUCAGGAGAACAUCAUGAACAUCACCUUCUGCAAACUGGAGAAUGAGAAGUGCCCGUACUGCCAGUCCGAGAUGGACCCACUGCUGUUGAAGCUCAUCCGCCUGACACAGCUCACCAUUGAGUACCUGGUGCAUUGUCAAGAGUUCCUCACCUCACAGCUGAGCGUGGUAGAGGAGCGGUUACACUUGAGUAUGAGUGGCUGUGAGCAGAACAAACAGCUGCUCACCAAGCAGGCUGAGGAUAUUAGACUGCUCAAGCAGGAGUGUAGACGCAGGAAAAAGAUGGUGUCUGCCCAGCAGCUGAUGAUGGGCCAGGCCCAAGCCAGCCAUUACCAGUGCCGCUUUUGUGACAAAGCCUUCAUGAACCAAGCUUUUCUACAGAGCCACCUCCAUCGCCGCCACGCUGCAGAUUCUUGUCUCGCGAGAAAUGCAAAAGCACAGAACCACAAGCUCCAGGAGGAGAUCAACAUGUUGAAGGAGCAGCUGCAGUUCACCAAGACCCAGCUGGAGUCGGCGCAGCACACCCACCAAGUCCGAUUCUCUAAAGACUAUGAAAUGCAGAAAAUAAAUGAGGAGGACUUUCAGAAGUUAGUUGUUAGAUGGGAGGAGGAAGAAAAGCAGAAACUGGUUGAUGAGAUGGAAAAAGUCAAGGAGAUGUUUAUGAAGGAGUUUAAAGACUUAACAUCGAAGAACUCAGCUUUAGAAUAUCAGUUAUUGGAAAUCCAGAAAUCCAAUAUGCAGGGCAAACUCAACAUGGACACCCAGAGAGACUCCCCUAGGUUUAAAAACUAUCAUAUUCCCAGCGUUUCCAAAAUAUGCUAUGCAUCCUUAAGUGCAAGUAAGCCAGUAGCCAGAUGGAUUUCAAAUUCUCAAGGAAGAAGGCAGCAAGGAGCAGAGUCAGGUCUUUCUCAGGCAACCACAGACACCCUGAUGACAUAGUGUGACAGUCUCUGUCAGGUCCACAGACACCGCUUUGCUGCAGACCUCCCCACUCUAACAGUCUUUCCACCCCUUUCUUCACCAUGUUGUCUGCUGAGUCAUGUGGUGUGUGUGUGUGUGUGUGUGUGUGUGUGUGUGUGUGUGUGUGCUUGUAUGCAUGUUCUUGUGUGCAUGUUCUUGUGUGUGUGUUAAAUGUUUCAGGGAUGAGAGCUCCAGAGCCCCUUAUUCUCUGCACUUUGACCAAUUGUAAGUCAGUAUUAACCACUGCCCACUACAAAAAGGAAGUUUCUCUGAUAGAAAGGCUAAAAGGUUAUUUUAUUUAUGUGAGUAUAACAUAUCAUUUAGAAGGCUGUUUGUUAUUCUAUCCAGUAAGCAUAAUAACUUGAAUCUCAUCACAAAAUAGUUGGUUAUCCCUAUACAUCCCUGCCACUAUUAUACUGUGAUAAUAUUUAAAUUUUACAUUUCUCUGAAUAUAGACAUCUCUCCCCCGUAUACAGAUAUAGACUUACAAAAUUUAUGUUUUCAAUACCCAGGUUAUAAAUACUUCUUUAUAUUUUAAAAUAUUUUCAGAAUCAUUUUCUUGGCGAAGUUUUGAUCUCAUAUGGAUUCUAUUACUUGGUCCUUCUUGUAUUGUUGAAAACCUGUACACAUGCCUGAUUUUUUUUCACUUCUAAGCAAGUGUAAAUAAAGGACUGCUCAAAUUAAUAACAAAAAUAUUUAAAAGACAUUUAGAAGAAAAAUUAAACAAUAUUGGAUAAUUAAGAUAGACAGAACGGGAAGAGAAAUAAAAGAAUCUAGGCUUUCUGUGUUGCUCAAACAAGUCAGUGGAAAAGUAUGGAAAACUCAUAAAAAUUGAAAAAUAUAUGAAUAGAAAUAUGUAUCAGUGGAGGAAAGAGAACAGGGAGUGAGGAACCACUAGAAAAUUCUAGAAGCCGGGGAAGUGAGAGGUUUUCGCAACCCAAAGUGGAUGACAGUAGCCAAAAUACCCAAUAAAGCAGAAAUAGAACCUGUAGAGACUAUCUCCAGUAAAUAGGCAUGGCCCCUUAUUCAGGAAUGUAGCCACCCACGCAUCUCACAAUUGUUAACCCAGAAAUGUUCCAGUCCAAAGGAAAUGCAGGGACAAAAAAAAAAAAAAAAAAAAAAAAAAGGAAGAAACUGAAGGAAAGGCCAUCCAGAGAAUGUCCCACCUAGGGAUCUGUCCCAUCUGCUGACACCAAACCCAGACACUAUUGCUGAUGCAAAGAAGCACUGGCUGACAGGAACCUGGUAUACCUGUCCUCUGAAAGGCUCUGCCAGCACCUGACUAUAUUAUGGUCUGGAAUAAAGAGUAAAAGAAC